UACGGGGGGAGCAAGCGUUGUUCGGAUUUACUGGGCGUAAAGGGCGCGUAGGCGGCGUGACAAGUCACUUGUGAAAUCUCCGGGCUUAACUCGGAGCGGCCAAGUGAUACUGUCGUGCUAGAGUGCGGAAGGGGCUACUGGAAUUCUCGGUGUAGCGGUGAAAUGCGCAGAUAUCGGGAGGAACACCUAUGGCGAAGGCAGCUCGCUGGGACGUUACUGACGCUGAGACGCGAAAGCGUGGGGAGCAAACAGG
rnacentral:rRNA from 1 species